UACGUAGGGGGCAAGCGUUGUCCGGAUUUACUGGGCGUAAAGGGCGUGUAGGUGGUUUUGUAAGUCUGGCGUGAAAUUUUUCGGCUUAACCGGGAAAGGUCGUCGGAUACUGCAGGACUAGAGGACGGUAGAGGCGUGUGGAAUUCCGGGUGUAGUGGUGAAAUGCGUAGAGAUCCGGAGGAACACCAGUGGCGAAGGCGACACGCUGGGCCGUACCUGACACUGAUGCGCGACAGCAUGGGGAGCAAACAGG
rnacentral:rRNA from 1 species